GAGAUGUACCCGCUUGUGUUCCAAAAGACAGCUGACCGCCAUUCAGACUUUUCAUGUCUGCCCAGGGUGCUGACCGGAAAUGCCAUCGCCCUCAUAUGGGGGAGGAGGAGACAGAUACAGGGAACACUGCAGAGACUGGCUAGUCAUCAGAACCACCAACAUGAUGAAAGCCGAGUCAUUACGUCAAUCCACAUUCCUUUAAGUUUGAUGAGGGAGUCUCUCUCGCUCUGCUCUGAAUGAGGCAGGGAUCCCUGUGGACCUGGUGGGUGGCGUUUCCAUUGGCUCCCUGAUGGGGGCGCUGUACACAGAGGACCACAGCCACAUGUGAAAGAGGGCAUGAGAGUGGGCCAUGGACAUGACAUCAGAUUUUAAAAAGGUGUUGGACCUGACCUACCCCAUCACUUCUACGUUCUCUGGCGCUGACUUCAACUCCAGCAUUUACAGUGUUCAAGGGCAAGCAGAUUGAUGAGGCUGCCCUACGUGUGUUGUGUGCAUCAGUGAAGAGCAGUGACUACUGCGAGUACAUCAGACCGCCCACAAACCGCUACAGCACACUGGAGUUUGGCAAGUUCGACAAGAUCCUUGGACCUGUGACUUGUCCCAACGCCUCCUUCACUGACCUGGCUGAGAUCGUGUCCCGCAUCGAGCUGGCCAAACCUGCUCUGGUAGAUGAGCAGUCCGACUACCCCACAGACUAAUAGCAGGAGGCGGUGGGGAGUGCCUACUAAGACAUUGAGCUAUCCAAUCACUACAGCGAACACACCACUAAGGGGGAGGAGACUGCUGACACAGUGCAGUGAAGCUUUGAAUGUCGAUGUUUCUUCUUGGUUUAUCUCGGAUGAAGAUCUGCUGGACAGGGGGUGCAAACGUCGCCAUCCUCCCCGAGGCAUUCGUGUGGGGAGGGGUAAAAUGUGAACUACAGUGUGUAGGCUGAUUCUAUAUGGUGCUUAUGUGCAGGCACAUCCAAGACAGCUGUAAAACACAGCUGAUUUGACUAAUGAAUCAUUAGCCUUUACUUACCUCUAGAACGAGCUUAAUAGAUGUACUCACAUGACAUUAAGCCAAUCAAUGCAGUAUAUAUUUUUUCAUGUGUGUUUAUCCAUACAGUGCAGUAUAAAGCAGUGCCUUUAUCGCAGCUAAUGUUCAUGCUAGCACCAGAAGCCUUGCAUUGUGUUGUAGUAAAUGGAACGUCUCUAUCGAACAGAUCCCAUGUGGUUGUAAGAGUGUGUCCUAAAUAGCACCCUAUUCACUUCAGUGCAUUUUGUAGGGGAUAGGAUGCCACAAGAGACGCAACCUGUCUAAAGUCUGAAAGAAGCAAAGAGGCAGCAUGUGUUGUGUGUGAGAGCACGUCAGAACUGGAAGGAGGAUGUAUCAUGAAUGUGUUAGUGUGGCAUUUCGCUAACGGUUGGCGAAGUUGAUACUACUGUAGGGUCAAUGUAUGGUCAGCCUCACAGUUCUGGAUAGGAUCCAAUUCAAAGGCACAAUUCAUGUGGUACAAUAAACAAGGGCAUAUUGAAUGAAUUAGCUAAAUGGAAAGUGCUGUUGGAUAAUGAUUGACUACAGUGAAACAAUUGAAGAUAUAUGAAUGUGGUGCCACGUUUUACAAAAUGCAUACAUAUAUGCUCAGUGAAUGCAACAACGCUUUUUGUGACUUACUGAACUAAACUGGACAACUUGACCUUUUCAACAUUUCAAGCUGCUCAAUGGUGCCUUUUCUGUUGACUGACUAUUACAUGCUGAUUAGUUCCAUUUUAAUGUUGAGCACAGUUUGCCAAUCACCCUGUAAAGCAAUGAAGGACUCGUGUACUAUUAAGAGUUGCUUCUGUCAAUUGUUACCAGAUAAUGUUUUUGAUAAUCCAGUG